rnacentral:rRNA from 1 species
UACGUAGGGUCCGAGCGUUGUUCGGAAUUACUGGGCGUAAAGCGCGCGUAGGCAGACCUGCAAGUCGGGGGUGAAAGCCCGAGGCUCAACCUCGGAACUGCCUUCGAUACUGCGGGUCUCGAGUCCGGGAGAGGUGAGUGGAAUUCCUAGUGUAGAGGUGAAAUUCGUAGAUAUUUGCAAGAACACCAGUGGCGAAGGCGGCUCACUGGCCCGGUACUGACGCUGAGGUGCGAAAGCGUGGGGAGCAAACAGG